rnacentral:lncRNA from 1 species
GGCGUUAUAAUUCAUUGAGCUGAAAUACGAUGUUUGGCAGCUCAGUUCCAGAAUCUAAAUAGACAAAAUGUAUUGCCAAACUGAAGCAGCUUUAUUCAGGGGUUGUAGCAGCAAAACUAAAGAGUAAUAACAUAACAUACAAAGACAUCUCUACGUUGUCUUGCACAAUUCAUGCGACAGCAAAGUUGGCACUAUAAUCCAUUGAGCUGAAAUACGAUGUUUGGCAGCUCAGUUCCAGAAUCUAAAUAGACAAAAUGUAUUGCCAAACUGAAGCAGCUUUAUUCAGGGGUUGUAGCAGCAAAACUAAAGAGUAAUAACAUAACAUACAAAGACAUCUCUACGUUGUCUUGCACAAUUCAUGCGACAGCAAAGUUGGCACUAUAAUUCAUUGAGCUGAAAUACGAUGUUUGGCAGCUCAGUUCCAGAAUCUAAAUAGACAAAAUGUAUUGCCAAACUGAAGCAGCUUUAUUCAGGGGUUGUAGCAGCAAAACUAAAGAGUAAUAACAUAACAUACAAAGACAUCUCUACGUUGUCUUGCACAAUUCAUGCGACAGCAAAGUUGGCACUAUAAUCCAUUGAGCUGAAAUACGAUGUUUGGCAGCUUAGCUCCAGAAUCUAA